rnacentral:lncRNA from 1 species
UUCAAACUGUAGUAAGAUAGUAUUGUUUAACAGAAGAAUAUUUAACUCACCUAAUCAUCCAAAAGGUCACAAAGAUUAUGACAAGGACCCUACAGAGCACUAUGAAGAAGGAGAGGAAUAUGGAACCAUGAAGCUCUUCCUACUGGUUGUAAUCCUGGCUGUUGUAACUGCUGUUCUAUUGAUAAUCAUCCUCAUCCUGGUCCUCAAGGUCAGACGAGAUUCAAACAGACUAAACACAGGACCUGACUCACAACGACAACCAACGAAAUGAGCAGAACCAAGAUACUGAUGCACUGAAUUAUGCUGCCCUUAAUUUCACCUCCAAGAAAAAGAAGAGGGAGAGAAGGAGCUGGACCCCCAUGUAGUGUAUGCUGCUACAAGAUGACAAAGUGGAGGGUGGAGAGGAGGACAAGUGGUUUGCCAUGUCUUUGAAUACAUGUUUAAAUCUUCCUAUAUUGUAUUUGUAGUUAAAUCAAAUGUAUUGAAAUGUUAAUAAACUAAGGGCCACUGUAACCCUGUUCCUCUCUUAGGCCACACAGCUCAGUGGUGCAGGGGUGGUUAGAGGGGGAGUUGGACUCAAACCACAACUGAUUAAUGGCCACAGAGUAGUAGUUGCCUCUUGGUCUCUCUUAGCUUUGUUCUCUUGUGUUGUGUUAGUGAAUUGGUUAUUAUUUAAUAAGCUGGCCAUAAAGGACAAAGUACCUAGCAUAGGACAAUUGUAUUACAUUGAUUACUUAAUAAAAAGUUUUAUCAAAA